AUCAAUCAAAAUGGCUGGCAAGUUCCCUCUUGGUUGAACAAGUAAUUGUUUGAUGGUUGAGAAUUGGAAUGUGCAUUUUGAGGAAGAAGUAAAUAGUUUUGGUUUUAGGUAACACAGAAUGCCAAAGAGUUACAAGAUUGAUGUUGGUGCCUGUGCUUUGCUUAUUGCCUGUAUAGUUGUAUCAAUGAGUUCAUGGCCUGCGGUUACAGAAGCGAGGAUUUCCAAGUUCUCAGCUAUCCAAGAAAGUUUAGUCCGUGAGAGUACAGAAGGACGUCGUCAAAGUCUGAGGGAAAUUCCAGUACGUAAGGCGACUCCCUUACUAGCUCCGCGCCACGGACAUGAUUGAAGUUGCUGGUGUUUUAGAUUGCAAAUUCAUGUAGGAAAUAGAAUUAAGUAUGGUAUGGCUGAUGAUACUGGAACAGAACGUCAAGUUUCCUUUUGUGAAAUUUCUAGGUUUCAAAUUGUAUUGUUCUAACUUUUGUGUUGGGAUUGUAAGACCCUGCCCUUUGAAAGAAAACUACUAGCUGCAACACAAAAUCACAUAUCAAGAGAAAAGGAGCCAAGAUUAUAUGAAAAAUAGCACAGAUCUUAUAUUC